rnacentral:rRNA from 1 species
UACGGGGGGGGCAAGCGUUGUUCGGAAUUACUGGGCGUAAAGGGCUUGUAGGUGGCCAACUAAGUCAGACGUGAAAUCCCUCAGCUUAACUGGGGAACUGCGUCUGAUACUGGAUGGCUUGAGUUUGGGAGAGGGAUGCGGAAUUCCAGGUGUAGCGGUGAAAUGCGUAGAUAUCUGGAGGAACACCGGUGGCGAAGGCGGCAUCCUGGACCGGCAUUGACGCUGAGGCGCGAAAGCCAGGGGAGCAAACGGG